UUAAGCGACUAAGCGUACACGGUGGAUGCCCUGGCAGUCAGAGGCGAUGAAGGACGUGCUAAUCUGCGAUAAGCGUCGGUAAGGUGAUAUGAACCGUUAUAACCGGCGAUUUCCGAAUGGGGAAACCCAGUGUGAUUCGUCACACUAUCAUUAACUGAAUCCAUAGGUUAAUGAGGCGAACCGGGGGAACUGAAACAUCUAAGUACCCCGAGGAAAAGAAAUCAACCGAGAUUCCCCCAGUAGCGGCGAGCGAACGGGGAGCAGCCCAGAGCCUGAAUCAGUGUGUGUGUUAGUGGAAGCGUCUGGAAAGGCGCGCGAUACAGGGUGACAGCCCCGUACACAAAAAUGCACAUGCUGUGAGCUCGAUGAGUAGGGCGGGACACGUGGUAUCCUGUCUGAAUAUGGGGGGACCAUCCUCCAAGGCUAAAUACUCCUGACUGACCGAUAGUGAACCAGUACCGUGAGGGAAAGGCGAAAAGAACCCCGGCGAGGGGAGUGAAAAAGAACCUGAAACCGUGUACGUACAAGCAGUGGGAGCACGCUUAGGCGUGUGACUGCGUACCUUUUGUAUAAUGGGUCAGCGACUUAUAUUCUGUAGCAAGGUUAACCGAAUAGGGGAGCCGAAGGGAAACCGAGUCUUAACUGGGCGUUAAGUUGCAGGGUAUAGACCCGAAACCCGGUGAUCUAGCCAUGGGCAGGUUGAAGGUUGGGUAACACUAACUGGAGGACCGAACCGACUAAUGUUGAAAAAUUAGCGGAUGACUUGUGGCUGGGGGUGAAAGGCCAAUCAAACCGGGAGAUAGCUGGUUCUCCCCGAAAGCUAUUUAGGUAGCGCCUCGUGAAUUCAUCUCCGGGGGUAGAGCACUGUUUCGGCAAGGGGGUCAUCCCGACUUACCAACCCGAUGCAAACUGCGAAUACCGGAGAAUGUUAUCACGGGAGACACACGGCGGGUGCUAACGUCCGUCGUGAAGAGGGAAACAACCCAGACCGCCAGCUAAGGUCCCAAAGUCAUGGUUAAGUGGGAAACGAUGUGGGAAGGCCCAGACAGCCAGGAUGUUGGCUUAGAAGCAGCCAUCAUUUAAAGAAAGCGUAAUAGCUCACUGGUCGAGUCGGCCUGCGCGGAAGAUGUAACGGGGCUAAACCAUGCACCGAAGCUGCGGCAGCGACGCUUAUGCGUUGUUGGGUAGGGGAGCGUUCUGUAAGCCUGCGAAGGUGUGCUGUGAGGCAUGCUGGAGGUAUCAGAAGUGCGAAUGCUGACAUAAGUAACGAUAAAGCGGGUGAAAAGCCCGCUCGCCGGAAGACCAAGGGUUCCUGUCCAACGUUAAUCGGGGCAGGGUGAGUCGACCCCUAAGGCGAGGCCGAAAGGCGUAGUCGAUGGGAAACAGGUUAAUAUUCCUGUACUUGGUGUUACUGCGAAGGGGGGACGGAGAAGGCUAUGUUGGCCGGGCGACGGUUGUCCCGGUUUAAGCGUGUAGGCUGGUUUUCCAGGCAAAUCCGGAAAAUCAAGGCUGAGGCGUGAUGACGAGGCACUACGGUGCUGAAGCAACAAAUGCCCUGCUUCCAGGAAAAGCCUCUAAGCAUCAGGUAACAUCAAAUCGUACCCCAAACCGACACAGGUGGUCAGGUAGAGAAUACCAAGGCGCUUGAGAGAACUCGGGUGAAGGAACUAGGCAAAAUGGUGCCGUAACUUCGGGAGAAGGCACGCUGAUAUGUAGGUGAAGUCCCUCGCGGAUGGAGCUGAAAUCAGUCGAAGAUACCAGCUGGCUGCAACUGUUUAUUAAAAACACAGCACUGUGCAAACACGAAAGUGGACGUAUACGGUGUGACGCCUGCCCGGUGCCGGAAGGUUAAUUGAUGGGGUUAGCGGUAACGCGAAGCUCUUGAUCGAAGCCCCGGUAAACGGCGGCCGUAACUAUAACGGUCCUAAGGUAGCGAAAUUCCUUGUCGGGUAAGUUCCGACCUGCACGAAUGGCGUAAUGAUGGCCAGGCUGUCUCCACCCGAGACUCAGUGAAAUUGAACUCGCUGUGAAGAUGCAGUGUACCCGCGGCAAGACGGAAAGACCCCGUGAACCUUUACUAUAGCUUGACACUGAACAUUGAGCCUUGAUGUGUAGGAUAGGUGGGAGGCUUUGAAGUGUGGACGCCAGUCUGCAUGGAGCCGACCUUGAAAUACCACCCUUUAAUGUUUGAUGUUCUAACGUUGACCCGUGAUCCGGGUUGCGGACAGUGUCUGGUGGGUAGUUUGACUGGGGCGGUCUCCUCCUAAAGAGUAACGGAGGAGCACGAAGGUUGGCUAAUCCUGGUCGGACAUCAGGAGGUUAGUGCAAUGGCAUAAGCCAGCUUGACUGCGAGCGUGACGGCGCGAGCAGGUGCGAAAGCAGGUCAUAGUGAUCCGGUGGUUCUGAAUGGAAGGGCCAUCGCUCAACGGAUAAAAGGUACUCCGGGGAUAACAGGCUGAUACCGCCCAAGAGUUCAUAUCGACGGCGGUGUUUGGCACCUCGAUGUCGGCUCAUCACAUCCUGGGGCUGAAGUAGGUCCCAAGGGUAUGGCUGUUCGCCAUUUAAAGUGGUACGCGAGCUGGGUUUAGAACGUCGUGAGACAGUUCGGUCCCUAUCUGCCGUGGGCGCUGGAGAACUGAGGGGGGCUGCUCCUAGUACGAGAGGACCGGAGUGGACGCAUCACUGGUGUUCGGGUUGUCAUGCCAAUGGCACUGCCCGGUAGCUAAAUGCGGAAGAGAUAAGUGCUGAAAGCAUCUAAGCACGAAACUUGCCCCGAGAUGAGUUCUCCCUGACCCUUUAAGGGUCCUGAAGGAACGUUGAAGACGACGACGUUGAUAGGCCGGGUGUGUAAGCGCAGCGAUGCGUUGAGCUAACCGGUACUAAUGAACCGUGAGGCUUAACCU
rnacentral:rRNA from 1 species